UUACACCAAAAGCUCCCACUUGAAAGCACACCAGCGGACGCACACAGGUGUUUUUCCAGGUCUGACCACCUGGCCCUGCACAUGAAGAGGCACCUCUGAGGGAGCAGAGAGGUGGAUCCUGUAGGCUAAAAGGCUUCCAGGCUGAGAGCCGGCCGUGGAAGGAGGGAUGCGUGUUCCAGCCAAAGCAUGCCGUUCUGCACCCUACCCAGUUGCCUCCAGGGCCUCUCCUUGGAAGGUCUUUUGAGGGCUAAAAAGGUCCUGUAAGAAGCGGCAUAGCACCCGUGGUGCAUGGUAUGUGGGUGACCCUGGACUCGCCACUGGUACCCGCCCUUCCGAGCGGCGCCUAAGCCUUUGCCGUGAGCAUGCACACUGAGAAUGCUAAUGGUUGGGUUGAUUGUAUGUUGAGGAUCUAUUACUGACCGUAUGAUGAGGCCAACUUUUUUUCCUUGUGGUUAGCAAGACUGCAAGAGAUGGAAAAAAAGUAGUUUGAAUGUUUUGUGUGUAAGGAGUAUACCAUGAGAUGAGAUGACCACCAAUCAUUUCCUUGGGGGGAGGGGGUGUCUGCACCUUAGAAAAAAAAAGAAAAAUCAAAAAAACAAAAAAACA
rnacentral:lncRNA from 10 species